UACGGAGGGAGCUAGCGUUGUUCGGAAUUACUGGGCGUAAAGCGCGCGUAGGCGGCUUUGUAAGUUAGAGGUGAAAGCCCGGGGCUCAACCCCGGAAUUGCCUUUAAGACUGCAUCGCUUGAAUCCGGGAGAGGUGAGUGGAAUUCCGAGUGUAGAGGUGAAAUUCGUAGAUAUUCGGAAGAACACCAGUGGCGAAGGCGGCUCACUGGACCGGCAUUGACGCUGAGGCGCGAAAGCCAGGGGAGCAAAACGGGG
rnacentral:rRNA from 1 species